rnacentral:rRNA from 1 species
UACAGAGGGUGCGAGCGUUAAUCGGAAUUACUGGGCGUAAAGCGCGCGUAGGCGGCUUUGCAAGUCGGGUGUGAAAUCCCCAGGCUUAACCUGGGAACUGCAUUCGAGACUGCAUUGCUAGAGUAUGGGAGAGGGAAGUGGAAUUUCCGGUGUAGCGGUGAAAUGCGUAGAUAUCGGAAGGAACAUCAGUGGCGAAAGCGGCUACCUGGACAAUUGCUGACGCUCAGGCACGAAAGCGUGGGGAGCAAACAGG